GUACCCUCCAGCCCUGCUGGGUAUUGGGCGUUUUGUUCCGCUACGCGCGUGAACUCGCCUCAAAUGCAUUGGCAGCCCGCCGUCCCGUGUGGGAGCGCAGCACAUUUUGCGCUCUCCGCUGCUGACGGUGGCAUCCACAAGUCUACCAUUUUGC
rnacentral:misc_RNA from 1 species